rnacentral:rRNA from 1 species
AAAGAAUACCGAUUGCGAAGGCGAUCUACUGGAACAUUAUUGACGCUGAGACGCGAAAGCGUGGGGAGCAAACAGGAUUAGAUACCCUGGUAGUCCACGCCCUAAACGAUGUACACUAGUUGUUGUGAGGCUCGACCUUGCAGUAAUGCAGUUAACACAUUAAGUGUACCGCCUGGGGAGUACGGUCGCAAGAUUAAAACUCAAAGGAAUAGACGGGGACCCGCACAAGCGGUGGAGCAUGUGGUUUAAUUCGACGAUACACGAAGAACCUUACCUGGACUUGACAUAGUAAGAACUUUCUAGAGAUAGAUUGGUGUCUGCUUGCAGAAACUUAUAUACAGGUGCUGCACGGCUGUCGUCAGCUCGUGUCGUGAGAUGUUGGGUUAAGUCCCGCAACGAGCGCAACCCUCGUCCUUAGUUGCUAACAGUUCGGCUGAGAACUCUAAGGAGACUGCCUACGCAAGUAGGAGGAAGGUGAGGACGACGUCAAGUCAUCAUGGCCCUUACGUCCAG